AUUGAACGCUGGCGGCAGGCUUAACACAUGCAAGUCGAGCGGGGUGAUGGUGCUUGCACUAUCACUUAGCGGCGGACGGGUGAGUAAUGCUUAGGAAUCUGCCUAUUAGUGGGGGACAACAUCUCGAAAGGGAUGCUAAUACCGCAUACGUCCUACGGGAGAAAGCAGGGGAUCACUUGUGACCUUGCGCUAAUAGAUGAGCCUAAGUCGGAUUAGCUAGUUGGUGGGGUAAAGGCCUACCAAGGCGACGAUCCGUAGCGGGUCUGAGAGGAUGAUCCACCACACUGGGACUGAGACACGGCUCAGACUCCUACGGGAGGCAGCAGUGGGGAAUAUUGGACAAUGGGGGAACCCUGAUCCAGCCAUGCCGCGUGUGUGAAGAAGGCCUUAUGGUUGUAAAGCACUUUAAGCGAGGAGGAGGCUCUUUUGGUUAAUACCCAAGAUGAGUGGACGUUACUCGCAGAAUAAGCACCGGCUAACUCUGUGCCAGCCGCCGCGGUAA
rnacentral:rRNA from 1 species